rnacentral:rRNA from 1 species
GCCAGACCCGACUGCUAUCAGAAUAGGACUAAGCCAUGCGAGUCAACGUAGCAAUACGUGGCAUACGGCUCAGUAACACGUAGUCAACGUGCCCAGGGGACGUGGAUAACCUCGGGAAACUGAGGAUAAACCGCGAUAGACCAUAAUGUCUGGAAUGAUUUAUGGUUCAAAUCUAUAUGGCCCCUGGAUUGGACUGCGGCCGAUCAGGCUGUUGGUGAGGUAAUGGCCCACCAAACCUAAAACCGGUACGGGCUCUGAGAGGAGAAGCCCGGAGAUGGGCACUGAGACAAGGGCCCAGGCCCUAUGGGGCGCAGCAGGCGCGAAACCUCUGCAAUAAGCGAGAGCUUGACAGGGUUAUUCUGAGUGAUUUCCGCUAAGGAAGUCUUUUGGCACCUCUAAAAAUGGUGCAGAAUAAGGGGUGGGCAAGCCUGGUGUCAGCCGCCGCGGUAAUACCAGCACCCCGAGUGGUCGGGACGAUUAUUGGGCCUAAAGCAUCCGUAGCCGGUUCUACAAGUCUUCCGUUAAAUCCACCUGCUUAACAGAUGGGCUGCGGAGGAUACUAUAGAGCUAGGAGGCGGGAGAGGCAAGCGGUACUUAGUGGGUAGGGGUAAAAUCCGUUGAUCCACUGAAGACCACCAGUGGCGAAGGCGGCUUGCCAGAACGCGCUCGACGGUGAGGGAUGAAAGCUGGGGGAGCAAACCGGAUUAGAUACCCGGGUAGUCCCAGCUGUAAACGAUGCAGACUCGGUGAUGAAUAGGCUUCGUGCCUAUUCAGUGCCGCAGGGAA